rnacentral:rRNA from 1 species
UACGUAGGGGGCAAGCGUUGUUCGGAAUUACUGGGCGUAAAGGGCUCGUAGGCGGCCAACUAAGUCAGACGUGAAAUCCCUCGGCUUAACCGGGGAACUGCGUCUGAUACUGGAUGGCUUGAAUCCGGGAGAGGGAUGCGGAAUUCCAGGUGUAGCGGUGAAAUGCGUAGAUAUCUGGAGGAACACCGGUGGCGAAGGCGCAUCCUGGACCGGCAUUGACGCUGAGGAGCGAAAGCCAGGGGAGCAAAGCGGG